rnacentral:rRNA from 1 species
GUGAGGAAUUUUCCGCAAUGGGCGAAAGCCUGACGGAGCAAUGCCGCGUGAAGGAUGAAGGCCUAUGGGUUGUAAACUUCUUUUCUCAGAAAAGAAUUAUGACGGUAUCUGAGGAAUAAGCAUCGGCUAACUCUGUGCCAGCAGCCGUGGUAAGACAGAGGAUGCAAGCGUUAUCCGGAAUGAUUGGGCGUAAAGCGUCUGUAGGUUGUUUAAAAAGUAUUCUGUCAAAGAUUAGGGCUUAACCCUAGAUAGGCAGAAUAAACUUUUAAGCUAGAGUUUGGUAGAGGCAGAGGGAAUUCCCGGUGGAGCGGUGAAAUGCGUAGAUAUCGGGAGGAACACCAAAGGCGAAGGCACUCUGCUGGGCCAAUACUAACACUGAGAGACGAAAGCGAGGGGAGCAAAUGGGAUUAGAAACCCGAGUAGUCC